rnacentral:rRNA from 1 species
UACAGAGGGGGCAAGCGUUGUUCGGAAUUACUGGGCGUAAAGGGCGCGUAGGCGGCCUUCUAAGUCGAACGUGAAAUCCCCGGGCUCAACCCGGGAACUGCGUCCGAUACUGGAAGGCUUGAAUCCGGGAGAGGGAUGCGGAAUUCCAGGUGUAGCGGUGAAAUGCGUAGAUAUCUGGAGGAACACCGGUGGCGAAGGCGACUUCCUGGACCAAUACUGACGCUCAGGUGCGAAAGCGUGGGGAGCAAACAGG